ensembl:lncRNA
GUGUGUGAGAGUGUGUGUGUGAGACUGUGUGUGUGAGACUGUGUGUGUGAGACUGUGUGUGUGAGAGUGUGUCUGAGAGUUGGUGUGUGACUGUGUGUGUGACUGUGUGUGUGAGAGUGUGUGUGAGAGUGUGUGUGAGAGUGUGUGUGUGACUGUGUGUGUGAGAGUGUGUGUGAGACUGUGUGUGUGAGAGUGUGUGUGAGAGUGUGUGUGAGAGUGUGUGUGAGUGUGUGUGUGAGAGUGUGUGUGUGACUGUGUGUGUGACUGUGUGUGAGAGUGUGUGUGAGAGUGUGUGAGAG